GAAGCUUCUCUGAGGUUACAGAGUUACUGAAAAACAGAGAAUUGACUCAGGAGGAACUGAAGUAUUCUGAAGGCUCCACAGCUAAGACAUUCACAGCUGUGAGAAGUACUGGAGAAUUUAACUUGGACUGACUCCAAGCGUGAGACACAUCAGUUUCAAGAAAUUUUGAGGGCUUCUAGCCCUCAGUGCCCACAAGAAAUACUUUUCACAUCUUAAACAUAUCAGCCCCUUCCAAACAGGGCCAUUUUAAGAAUCAUCUCCACUUCUUAGCCAAAAGAAUUCUGGGUGAAAAGAACUUCUCCAGUACACACUAAUAUCCUUCCUUUGAUUUA
rnacentral:lncRNA from 1 species